AUUGAACGCUGGCGGCAGGCCUAACACAUGCAAGUCGAACGGUAACAGGAAGAAGCUUGCUUCUUUGCUGACGAGUGGCGGACGGGUGAGUAAUGUCUGGGAAACUGCCUGAUGGAGGGGGAUAACUACUGGAAACGGUAGCUAAUACCGCAUAACGUCGCAAGACCAAAGAGGGGGACCUUCGGGCCUCUUGCCAUCGGAUGUGCCCAGAUGGGAUUAGCUAGUAGGUGGGGUAACGGCUCACCUAGGCGACGAUCCCUAGCUGGUCUGAGAGGAUGACCAGCCACACUGGAACUGAGACACGGUCCAGACUCCUACGGGAGGCAGCAGUGAGGAAUAUUGCACAAUGGGCGCAAGCCUGAUGCAGCCAUGCCGCGUGUAUGAAGAAGGCCUUCGGGUUGUAAAGUACUUUCAGCGGGGAGGAAGGGAGUAAAGUUAAUACCUUUGCUCAUUGACGUUACCCGCAGAAGAAGCACCGGCUAACUCCGU
rnacentral:rRNA from 1 species